ACUUGUCUUUGCAAUUCUGAGCCAGUUUCCCAUUCUAGCUCAGGAUCUGGACUCUGGGGUGGCUGUGCUCCUCAUGCUGAAGGAGGAUCCAUUAAAGGUUGUGUGGAUAUUGAAAUAUGAGUCUGGUUUUGACAUGUGGCAGAGAGGUAGCAGGAAUCCUGAGAGACGGCUGUAACGAGGAGCAGUGCCAGCUGUGCUGUGCUCCCAGUGGUGUGAGUUUCCUGCAGGCUCUUUCAUCAGCUGAGCUCCUUUCAGGAGUCGCUGGGUUAGAACUGUGCUCAAUUCAAGGAACAGCGUGGCCUAGGAACUGCAUGGAUGAGGCCAUCCUGCUUCAGGAGGAGAAGAGGUUUUUGGCUGUGUGGAUGGGAACUGUUCCAUGCUGCCUGCUUUCCUCACCAGAGAACAGGACUGUGAGACCAAGAGAAAGAGUCACCUCAUCCUUGCUGUACUUACCUGGACGCGGUCCCUAGCUGUUCCUGCCAGAACUGACAACGCUUCCAUUGCGGCAUCAUUCCUUGCUAUGAGAGCUCUAUGUUUGUGACAGUUGUCCACGCUACGCUUUUUGUGAUAACCUUGGUUAAUGUGUUGCGAGGAUCAUACAAUGCUGUCACAAAUCUUGGCAUCCUCCAGACUUGUUUCCAGUGAUAUUCCAAUUUCUAAAGCAGGUGUGGGGUCAAAUCAGCCUUGCUCUAUAAUCAUUGGCUGGGGGUUGUUUUAUUUCCCCGAACACAGAGUACCCGGUUCCUUCAUGCAUCAUUUAUAUUCCCUCCACCCUGGGAAAUCUCUGGACAUUUCUCUAUUCCAGCCACGUAUUUAGAAAUGUUCAUUUUCUUUCACGUUCUCUUUAUAAAAACAGAAACUCUCUAUCAUCGCCAGUGACCCCGAGGAUAGGUGGUUUUGUAGCUUUCCCACCAUCUCAGCAAAUGCUUUGUCUGCAGAUUUAACAGACACCAUUAGGCUAUGCAGCAGAUUACAAAUUGCAGCCCCUGUUAUGAUCAGCAAGCUGACAUUUUCUUCCAGAUGUUCACUCG
rnacentral:lncRNA from 7 species